rnacentral:rRNA from 1 species
AUUAAUAAUUAAGAAAGAAAAAGUUAAAGUUUGUACCUUUUGUAUUAUGGUUCAACAAGGUUAUAUAAAUGAAGUUUUAUAACCCGAAGCUGAGCGAGCUAAUGUAUUCUGCUUUAAGAGAGGAGGCUUUUACUGUUGCAAUAGUAAGGUUUGAGGAUCCAUUAGAUGUGAUAUGCUUAUCGUGCUCAGGGAUAGCUGGUUUUUCUAGAAAUAAGUGUGAGCUAAGUGUGUAUAUUUAUCAUAAUAUAAUUAUCUUAGAGGAUAAUAAGAUAAUUUUGAUAAUAAUAUAAUAGUAAGACAGAGAGGGCUAAGCUCCUUUGUCAAUGAAGAAAAAGCUUUGUACUAUUAAUUAAGGGUAGUUUUAUGAAAAUGUGUUAGGUGUUGAUAAAAAGUAGGAUUAAUAGCAUCCAACUUUGUAGAAAGCGUUAAAGCUUAUUUAUUUUAAUAGUAAUACAAAUAAUUUUAGUAGGAUGGCUCUAGAUUGUAGGUGUUUUAUAGAAAAAUUUCAUAAGUUUGAAAGUUAUAAUGUUGAAAUUAGUAGAGAAAUAAGUAUAUAUUUUUUGUGAAUUAAUCAAUCCUUACAUUGGAUGGAACAAUUAAGUUUAUAAUCGGGAAAUUAGUUUGUUUGAGUUGUCUACUAACACAAGUAAUAUAGUAUUGGUUAAUAAAAGGGAAAGGAACUCGGCAAAUAAUUAUUUCGCCUGUUUACCAAAAACAUCGCUCUUUGUAAAGAAUCUAAUAUAUAAGGAGUCCUGCCUGCCCGGUGACAUAGUUAAACGGCCGCGGUAUCUUGACCGUGCAAAGGUAGCAUAAUCAUUUGCCUCUUAAAUGGGGGCUGGUAUGAAUGGCAAGACGGAAAUUUAGCUGUCUCUCUCUUAAAUUUUGAAGUUAAUAUUCUUGUGAAGAAGCAGGAAUAAGAUCGUAGGACGAGAAGACCCUAUCGAGCUUUAGUAGAGAUAAGAUACAAUCAUGUUGAUGGUAUUUUAUUGCUAAUUGGUUGUUUUUAAUGACUAGAAUAAUUUUACUAUUAGAGUAAUCAUGUUGUGUAUCUAAUAUUUAGGUUGGGGCAACCGCGGAGAAUAGUUAUCCUCCGCUAAUUUAAUUAGUAAAAAAAUGUUUUUAGAUAUAAGAUUUAUAUAAAAGUGAUCCACUACAAUAAGUGAGUACAAGAAUAAGUUACCGUAGGGAUAACAGCGUAAUUUUUUUGGAGAGUUCAUAUUGAUAAAAAAGUUUGCGACCUCGAUGUUGGAUCGGGAUUUCCUGGGGAUGCAGCAGUUCCUAA